AACGAACGCUGGCGGCAGGCUUAACACAUGCAAGUCGAGCGCCCCGCAAGGGGAGCGGCAGACGAAUGAGUAACGCGUGGGAACGUACCCUUAUCUUCGGAAUAGCUCCGGGAAACUGGAAUUAAUACCGAAUGUGCCCUUUGGGGGAAAGAUUUAUCGGAUAAGGAUCGGCCCGCGUUGGAUUAGCUAGUUGGUGGGGUAAAGGCCUACCAAGGCGACGAUCCAUAGCUGGUCUGAGAGGAUGAUCAGCCACAUUGGGACUGAGACACGGCCCAAACUCCUACGGGAGGCAGCAGUGGGGAAUAUUGGACAAUGGGCGCAAGCCUGAUCCAGCCAUGCCGCGUGAGUGAUGAAGGCCCUAGGGUUGUAAAGCUCUUUCAGUAGGGAAGAUAAUGACGGUACCUACAGAAGAAGCCCCGGCUAACUUCGUGCCAGCCGCCGCCGUAAAAC
rnacentral:rRNA from 1 species